rnacentral:rRNA from 1 species
GAUGAACGCUGGCGGCGUGCUUAACACAUGCAAGUCGAACGAGGAAGCCCAGCUUGCUGGGUGGCGUAGUGGCGAACGGGUGAGUCACACGUUAGUAACCUGCCCUUAACCCUGGGAUAAGCCUUGGAAACUGGGUCUAAUACCGGAUAAGAGCGUCCACCCCAUGGGGGGGGUUGGAGAGAUUUAUCGGUUUUGGAUGGAUUCGCGGCCUCUCAGCUGGUUGGUGAGAUAUGGUCUCACAAAGGCGACGGCGGGUAUCCGGCCUGAGAGGGUGACCGGCCACACUGGGAGUGAGAGACGGCCCAGACUCACACGGGAGGGAGGAGGGGGGAAUGUUGAACAAUGGGCGAAAGCAUGAUGCAGCGACGACGGGUGAGGGAGGACGGCAUUCGGGUUGGAAACCUAUUUCAGUAGGGAAGAAGCGAAAGGGACGGUACCUGAAGAAGAAACACCGGCUAACUACGU